GUAAAAUAACACGGUCUAGCUAACGGUGACGACCUUUCUCUAAACUAGCCCCUUCGCUCCCAGGGAUGUCACAUGACUGUACCGCGUAUCACGCUGGUCGACCAGGAAAUACGUAAUGUCAGCUAGAUAAUCCUUUCUCUCAGGGUCCAGCUGACACGGACUAUCAAAAUGGUGUCACUAAUUUGCACGAUCAGAGACCACAGAGAUGACAUAAACUGGUGUGCAUUCUCUCCUAAACUGUUGGCUACGUGCUCCUCUGACAAGACCAUCCGCGUCUAUUUUACACAGGACUUCUCUGAGCUUGCAUUCUCGCCACUUACUGGACACGGAUAUGGGGUCCAUUGCUGUUGCUUUAGUCCCUGUGGCAAGUUCUUGGCAUCUUGCUCAACAGACGCCACAACAGUUGUCUGGAGUAUGGACACCGGUGACUUAGUGACAGUGUUUGAGCACCCAGGGCGAAGCCCCGUCAGGGUGUGCGUUUUCUCCCCUGAUUCUUCUUUGAUCUCAGGUGCGUCUGAUGGGACUCUCGCCCUGUGGGACUUGCCUUCAAAAAGGUUGCGCAGGACCGGUGCAAGUAACGAAGCCUCGAUUGUAGCAUGUUCCUUCACUCCAUGCGGUCAGAUGUUUGCAACGGGAUCAACCUAUGGCGACAUUAGGGUCUGGGAUCUAGAACUGAAUCCUCUUCACACUGUGAAGAAUGCCCAUGAUCUAGGGGUCACCUGCUGUCAAUUUGCACCCAAGCUCCAGAAUGACGGGUGUUUGUCGCGGCUUCGACUGGCCUCCUGUGGGCAGGACAGCCAGCUGAAGAUCUGGAUGCUCUCUCGGCAAGCCGCAGCAGGUUGCAAGCUGCAGCUGCUGCACACGCUGGUGGGGCAGACUGCGCCCGUGCUCUCCUGCGCCUUCUCCGCUGACGCGCAGCUGCUGGUCUCGGGCUCAGUGGAUAAAACUAUCACAGUGUAUGGUGCUGACCAAGGUGUUUUGCUGUAUAGAUUACACCAGCAUGAAAGAUAUGUGACAGCCUGUGCCUUUUCAGCAACCGCACCUUGCCUUAUAGCCACAGGAUCCAUGGACAAGUCCGUGAACAUCUGGCGGGUGGAGGAUGGGAGGCAGUCAAAGCUCUUCUCACUACACCCUCCAACCACAGUUACAGGCAAUCAAAGCUCUUCUCACUACACCCUCCAACCACAUUUACAGGCAGUCAAAGCUCUUCUCACUACACCCUCCAACCACAGUUGCAGGCAGUCAAAGCUCUAUUCUUCUCACCACAACCUCCAAGCAAGCAUGGUUACGACAGACUCCCCUUGCAACAGCAAACUUUUAAGUGUGCACAUGCGGACGUGUGAGCAAUUAGCAAUUUAGAGAGUCACUGACUGUACAAUUUGCAGUUGGAGCUUUUUAUGAGAAUGGUUGAUCAUUCCACAUUUAUUUCCUACUGUCUCACUGAGAACAGCAUUAUGUAUUCACAUCGAUUUACUGGAGGGUUGUGCGUUUGUAAAAUAACAGGCUAUGUUGUGUAGUUGGGGAUGAAUCCUCUCCUCUCAGCAAGACUGCAGACCCCCUACGGACAGCAAAGGCUUGUCACUCAAAGCUUUUUUCUGCGUAUAAUAGCACGAAUCGGCGCUACGUGAGCAAAUGCUGGAGGAAACCCCGCUCCUUUGCGAGAGCUGAAGGAACACACUUCCUGUGCCCCGGAGAGCUGUGGGGAGAAUGUUUCCUGGCUGAGGUAGCUGGGUAGGGGCAGAGGAGGGUUAUGAAUGCAGCGGCUGGCCCCUGAGCUUCAGGCCUCCGCCGACAGAUGGUACAGGGCCCCUCUGGGGAUAGCGGACCUGAAUUGGGAUUCUAUAAAUAUCACCCGAAAACGCUCCACCGUCGACACCCAGCCGCAGGCCACUUCCUGGGGAUUUCCUCUGCCAGUAGCUGGCGCUGACGGAAAAUGCCAGAAACCGGGCCUCUCUGCGCAGCUCUACGAGCGUAUCUUUCUGAUAAUACGUUUGCAGCCAUGAAGGAUUUCUGUAUGUUUAGGAGCUGCGUCGCAAGCCUCGUGCAUGGCCUCAGAGUUCCCCUUCACAUUUCCUUAUGUGAGAUUAAAUACACUUUCGCCUGAACAGAAGUACAGGCCUGAACAGCCCCCCCCCCCCCCCCCACUUUGCUGUGCGAGACGCUAACGUUGUUUUUUCCUCCUCUGUUAAUCAUUAGGAGAUGAAGGGAAGUCCCCGCCGGCUGAAAGCAGUAUAGCCACAUGUGAAGGUAAGAGAAGAACAGUUCAUCCAUUGCACUGUGCUGUCAGUCCUUGCCAUUUUAAAAUGUCAUGGUCUGUUUUCAUUUUAGCAGUGUUAUAGGUACUGGGACAGUUAAUGCAUUAGAAGACAAAAUCACAAACGACAAGGCCGAUAAAGCCACAGUAUUCACUCAGCAGUGGAAGAUUAUAUUAAGUGGGCCAUCUAUGGGAUGACCUCACAAUGGUGGAAGAAUCAGACAGCAGGUCAGAGUAGGCUGCUGUCCACCUCCAAACGCACACCCUCAAAUUCCAAAAACUGUGUUUUCAUCACAUUAGUUGAGCGGCAGCCCUCGCUGCUGCUGACAUCCAGGGACGCCUGUCCACUUUGGGAUGGGCGAGGGUUUGUGUGUGUGGGGGUUUGUUAUUUUGAAGUUGGCUUUUUUUAUGAUAUUGCUGUAUGUCUUGUCAGGUCAUUCUGGGAAAAAGAAACUUUGCACACUUGAGUAUUGUUUUGACCACAGGUGCACUGUUAAAAAUAUAGCCACUUGUACACUGCAGUUUAAAUGGGUUUUCAUAUCUGUCUUUCACUUUCAGUCUAGCUUAGGCAAGAUGCACAGUCUGUAGACUCUAACAUGGAGGUAUUUCUGCACACCACUUUGAGUCUUCGGCUGCACAUAUGCACACACAGAAAGGCCAUGAUUAAUGUGAUGCCUGUGGCCAUACUAGUAAUUGUUAAUAAUCAGUUAAUUGUGAAUAAUUAAUUGCCAAAAAAUCUGAAAGAUUUCAUUUAAUUGUCUUAAGUGUUAUUUCUUUAUAGUCAAGGUUGGAGAACAUACUGUGGCUAACCUAAAGACCAAAUGGAGCUUGACUUUAUUUCACGUUAUGCUGAAAGCUAGAAAAUGUGCUUUGUCAUAAUAAAUGAAAUGUAUUAGAUAUAAAUAUUUGCAUGUUAUCAGUUUAUGGUUUAUAUCAGAGACCACCCACCAAGAUGUGAAAGUCAAAUCCCAUACACAACCUCCAAACAGGCCAUGGAAAUCUAGAGGCGAAUAUAGUGUAUAUUCCAAGCAGUAAAAAUAUGGGAUGUGCAUUUCGCCAAAUCUAAAUUCUGUGAUGUAUUAUUUCAAAGUGUAAACACACCCUAAGAGAACCACUCAAAGCUGUAAGGGAUGAACUCCACAUUGGUAAUGCUAGCCGAUAAUUUAUUUAGUUGUGCUAACACUUUAGUCUUUAACCUUUCAUCAGGGCACGGUUGAGUAAAAACUCGUAGAUAAUGGUCUUCACGUAUAUAA